rnacentral:rRNA from 1 species
UGGGGAAUAUUGGACAAUGGGGGGAACCCUGAUCCAGCCAUGCCGCGUGUGUGAAGAAGGCCUUAUGGUUGUAAAGCACUUUAAGCGAGGAGGAGGCUACUAGUAUUAAUACUACUGGAUAGUGGACGUUACUCGCAGAAUAAGCACCGGCUAACUCUGUGCCAGCAGCCGCGGUAAUACAGAGGGUGCGAGCGUUAAUCGGAUUUACUGGGCGUAAAGCGUGCGUAGGCGGCCAUUUAAGUCAAAUGUGAAUCCCGAGCUUAACUUGGGAAUUGCAUUCGAUACUGGAUGGCUAGAGUAUGGGAGAGGAUGGUAGAAUUCCAGGUGUAGCGGUGAAAUGCGUAGAGAUCUGGAGGAAUACCGAUGGCGAAGGCAGCCAUCUGGCCUAAUACUGACGCUGAGGUACGAAAGCAUGGGGAGCAAACAGGAUUAGAUACCCUGGUAGUCCAUGCCGUAAACGAUGUCUACUAGCCGUUGGGCCUUUGAGGCUUUAGUGGCGCAGCUAACGCGAUAAGUAGACCGCCUGGGGAGUACGGUCGCAAGNCUAAAACUCAAGGAAUUGACGGGGUCAUAGCUGUUUCCUG